CGUUACUUUUAUAACUUGACAGGUUUACUCCAAACCACAGUGCAGGGAAGAUUCGCACUUACGGCGGACAUCGAAGUGUUUCAAAGAACGCGAAGUACAACAAACUUGUGUUAGGGUUAAUAACAUCGAUCCAAGCAUAAUUUAAAAACACAGUUUUUAAAAAUCCAGUAAAUCGAAUCUUCUUCUUGGCGCCAGACGCUUGGAAACUUUCCCGCCGUUUUCCAGACCACGAUUGGCCAUGAACCCAAACACAGCACAAGAAGUUCCAGCACAACGCAGAAUUCAUGCUGAAGGUGUGUUUGCUUCAAACCAUCACUUUCAGAAACGAAUCUUCAAUAGUUGUCAAAACAUCUCAAACAUCCCAGAGAGGAUAAGAAAAAAACCUGGAUCACUCUAGUCCAUACUGUACGUCCUGGAAAACCAUAGACUGACAGAAGGAGACGGCCUGCUCUGUUAGUCCUUUCUAAACACCUCAGUGCACUUAAGCAAGCAAACAGCACACCAGAUGCAUCGAUCUCAGAGGACCUGAUGCUUGGGGAAAUCCUCACUAGCAGAAAUCUGACUACAUAUCAGAACUCUGUUUAGCAAGCAUGGGUUAGCAGAUCCAGAGGAUGCCAGGACUCGGGUCACAAUCAUGCUCUGUGACUCUAUUCUAAAUGCCUCAAACACAGAAGCAUGAAAAUCUCCCAAUAAUGCCAGGCUUUUCCCACUGGUUUAGAUCCCAUUUUUGUAUCAGCUCUUGUCAUUUAUGUCCCUGCAAUGAAUGCUGCCAUUGUUGGAUAUUUUUGGUUUGUAUUUUCUUGUUGUACACAAUCUACUACAUGCCGUCUUU